rnacentral:rRNA from 1 species
GUAGGUGGCAAGCGUUGUCCGGAAUUAUUGGGCGUAAAGCGCGCGCAGGUGGUUCUUUAAGUCUGAUGUGAAAGCCCCCGGCUCAACCGGGGAGGGUCAUUGGAAACUGGGGAACUUGAGUGCAGGAGAGGAAAGUGGAAUUCCACGUGUAGCGGUGAAAUGCGUAGAUAUGUGGAGGAACACCAGUGGCGAAGGCGACUUUCUGGCCUGUAACUGACACUGAGGCGCGAAAGCGUGGGGAGCAAACAGGAUUAGAUACCCUGGUAGUCCACGCCGUAAACGAUGAGUGCUAAGUGUUGGGGGGUUUCCGCCCCUCAGUGCUGCAGCUAACGCAUUAAGCACUCCGCCUGGGGAGUACGGUCGCAAAGACUG